rnacentral:rRNA from 1 species
CAGCCGCCGCGGUAAUACGUAGGUGGCAAGCGUUGUCCGGAAUUAUUGGGCGUAAAGGGCUCGCAGGCGGUUUCUUAAGUCUGAUGUGAAAGCCCCCGGCUCAACCGGGGAGGGUCAUUGGAAACUGGGAAACUUGAGUGCAGAAGAGGAGAGUGGAAUUCCACGUGUAGCGGUGAAAUGCGUAGAGAUGUGGAGGAACACCAGUGGCGAAGGCGACUCUCUGGUCUGUAACUGACGCUGAGGAGCGAAAGCGUGGGGAGCGAACAGGAUUAGAUACCCCGGUAGUCCUGUCUCUUAUACA